CCUACGGGAGGCAGCAGUGAGGAAUAUUGGUCAAUGGACGAGAGUCUGAACCAGCCAAGUAGCGUGAAGGAUGACUGCCCUAUGGGUUGUAAACGUCUUUUAUAUGGGAGUAAAAUGUUCCACGUGUGGGAUUUUGUAUGUACCAUAUGAAUAAGGAUCGGCUAACUCCGUUCCAGCAGCAUCGGUACUACGGAGGAUCCGAGCGUUAUCCGGAUUUAUUGGGCUUAAAGGGAGCGUAGGUGGAUUGUUAAGUCAGUUGUGAAAGUUGGGGGCUUAAACGUAAAAUUGCAGUUGAAACUGGCAGUCUUGAGUACAGUAGAGGUGGGCAGAAUGCGUGGUGUAGCGGUGAAAUGCUUAGAUAUCACGAAGAACUCCGAUUGCGAAGGCAGCUCACUGGACUGAAACUGACACUGAGGCUCGAAAGUGUGGGUAUCAAACAGGAUUAGAUACCCUGGUAGUC
rnacentral:rRNA from 1 species